rnacentral:rRNA from 1 species
UGUAAGCACAUGCCUUAAAACGGUAAAGCCGCGAAUGGCUCGGUAUAACAGCCACUGUUUAUUAAACUCUAGUUAUCUACUUGGAUAACUGUGGCAAUUCUAGAGCUAAUACAUGCACGCAGGCUCGGACCUUUUGGGAAGAGCGCAUUUAUUAGACCAAAACCAAUCGGGCUUCGGCCUGUGUUUUGGUGACUCUGAAUAACUAAGUCGAUCGCACAGUCUUAGUACUGGCGACGUAUUUUUCAAAUGUCUGCCUUAUCAACUUUCGAUGGUAGGUUAUACGCCUACCAUGGUUAUAACGGGUAACGGAGAAUUAGGGUUCGACUCCGGAGAGGGAGCCUGAGAAAUGGCUACCACAUCCAAGGAAGGCAGCAGGCGCGCAAAUUACCCAAUCCCAGAACGGGGAGGUAGUGACGAAAAAUAACGAGGUAAUCCACUUUGUGGCUUGCCAUCGGAAUGGGCACAAUAUA